rnacentral:rRNA from 1 species
GAUGAACGCUGGCGGCGUGCCUAAUACAUGCAAGUCGAGCGAACAGACGAGGAGCUUGCUCCUCUGACGUUAGCGGCGGACGGGUGAGUAACACGUGGAUAACCUACCUAUAAGACUGGGAUAACUUCGGGAAACCGGAGCUAAUACCGGAUAAUAUAUUGAACCGCAUGGUUCAAUAGUGAAAGACGGUUUUGCUGUCACUUAUAGAUGGAUCCGCGCCGCAUUAGCUAGUUGGUAAGGUAACGGCUUACCAAGGCAACGAUGCGUAGCCGACCUGAGAGGGUGAUCGGCCACACUGGAACUGAGACACGGUCCAGACUCCUACGGGAGGCAGCAGUAGGGAAUCUUCCGCAAUGGGCGAAAGCCUGACGGAGCAACGCCGCGUGAAUGAUGAAGGUCUUCGGAUCGUAAAACUCUGUUAUUAGGGAAGAACAAAUGUGUAAGUAACUAUGCACGCCUUGACGGUACCUAAUCAGAAAGCCACGGCUAGCUACGUG